rnacentral:rRNA from 1 species
GAGUUUGAUCAUGGCUCAGGACGAACGCUGGCGGCGUGCCUAAUACAUGCAAGUCGAGCGGAUCUUCAUUAGCUUGCUUUUGAAGAUCAGCGGCGGACGGGUGAGUAACACGUGGGCAACCUGCCUGUAAGACUGGGAUAACUUCGGGAAACCGGAGCUAAUACCGGAUAAUCCUUUUCCUCUCAUGAGGAAAAGCUGAAAGACGGUUUCGGCUGUCACUUACAGAUGGGCCCGCGGCGCAUUAGCUAGUUGGUGAGGUAACGGCUCACCAAGUCGACGAUGCGUAGCCGACCUGAGAGGGUGAUCGGCCACACUGGGACUGAGACACGGCCCAGACUCCUACGGGAGGCAGCAGUAGGGAAUCUUCCGCAAUGGACGAAAGUCUGACGGAGCAACGCCGCGUGAGCGAUGAAGGCCUU